rnacentral:lncRNA from 1 species
GGGAAGAACUGUUUUUAUACCAUUUCUUGUUAUAAAAAUAUUUUUUCUCCCUUUUGCUAAUUUUUCCCUAAUUAAGUUCAGUAGAAAAUAUUACAACUUUGAAUUGUUUUUCUAAACCAGAUGAUCCAGUCACUGUUGGAGGCACAUAGCCACGGCAAAAUCUCAUGCUGUACAUUGAUCACCUGUCCAACCUUUGCCUAGAGUGUGAUCCCCAGUUCCUUCAAGAGAUCCAUCUUUACCUGUCUAUAAAGAAGAAGAGGAGGAGGGAGACAUCUGGGAUAUUCAAGUAUCAAAGUUUAACACCAGAGCAGUUGUCAGAGGAACUAGUGAAAAAGGAAGAAAAGAUGUAGCACUGGAAAGUUACGAUGAUAAUCUAUUGCAUUGGAUCUCCAAACAUGACCAUGAUACCCUGGAGAAGAUCACAGAUGCAGAAAAUGAAUGCUAAGGUUGAUACCUAAUGAAAUGCUGCAUUAAUUGGCGUCUUCUCCAUUAUUUCUUGUAGUCUGCUGUGAAAUUAGAAACUUCAGAAAACAAUGAAGGAGAUUCAAGCAGAAAUUACAAGAGCUUUAUUUCUAUCUUCAAUGGGUCUUGCAAGUUAUUGUUUUCACAAACAAACCAAGCGUUCAGAAUAUUAUUGUUUACUGAACUUAAGUUAAUCAGGUUCUGUAACUCUUUUUUGGUAAAUUAAUAUUGAUUUUAAUAAGUAAUUCAGAUGUAGGUAAUUUAGGUAUGGUAUCUGCAUUUGCUGAUUUUUACCUAGUCUAUUCUAAAUCUUCUAUUGCACUAGAUUAUCAAAGAGGUAUUAGUAAAAUGUUAUAUAAAGGGUGUUGGCGUUCAUCUUAACCCCAAUUAGAUGUGGGCUUUAAAAAAACAGACACAAAAACAAGCCUUUACCCUCCUCUGUUUUCUUAUAUCUACUGAUAAUUAUAAUUAAAAGAAAAAACAAUGCCACAAAACAACACAAACCAAAAUGAAGACAAACAAACAAACAAAAUAAACAGCAACAAAAUAAGAAUUAAAAAACA